GUCUCUUAACAGGAAUGGAAAUCCUAACUAAGACACAUCUGUAAACUCAACCAGUGGUCUACAGGGGUGGUGAAGUUUAACCAACACACAGAUAUGUUUGGAAUCUAUAGUCUCUACCUGUCCCAGGGAGAGUCUAUGCUCUUUCAGUUUAAGGGAUGGCUAAGAGCCCCUUAAAAAGACAGUUGCUAUGGAUCCAUUUCUAGCCCACUUCCCUGCCUAUCAAGCAGUGCUCUAAUGAUGGUGCCUCCAGAAAGAGGCCUUGAGUCUAAUUCUAGACCAAGGGAUAAAGAUAGAAGUGUCCUGAAAAGCUAAAAUUAAUAAGCCUCUUGAAACUUCUUAAAGGAUGCUUUCCCCAAGAUGCCUGGCCACGCUGGCAGGCUUUAGCACUAUGUCCAUACCAACUGUUUAGACAUACCCCAACUUAAAAUUGUAUGGAGACAGGCAGCAAACUGAUAGCCAGGUUAGUACAGAGAAACUCUCUGGUGUAAUAUCUGGAAGCAUCAAUAAAAUGCUGUUGGCCUAUUAACUUAAAGGGAAAUAGGAAGAGAGGAUUCUGGGAUGGAGUCAGCAUGAGGAGGUUUUGCCCUGAACUCUGAGGAAGGCGGUUGGUCACAUGAAACUGAAGGAGCAGUAGCUAGCCAUGUGGCAGGCCUUAGAAUAAGCAGAGCCAAGAGCCAACAGCCAUCACAAGGUGCUAGCUGAACAGCAGAGAGACAUGGUGGAUACCGGCUAUAGACACGUGGAAACAGCAGGAAAAGCUGAAAAGUCAACAGAUGUGGGAGGAAACUGAGAAACCCUUAAGGAGAAAGUUACAUAUUAAAAGAAAAUAUUUCCUGUUAAAAAAAUAAGUUAAUAUUUCCUAUGUUAAAAAAUUUUAACUCAUUUGUUUAAAAAAAUUUGGACCUGGGCUGGAGAGAUGGCUCAGAGUUAAGAGCACUGGCAGCUCUUCUAGAGGUCCUGAGUUCAAUUCCCAGCAACCACAUGGUGGCUCACAACCAUCUAUAAUUAGAUCUGGUGCCCUCUUCUGGGGUGCAGGCAUACAUGCAUGCAGAAUAUUGUAUAAUAAAUAAAUCUUUAAAAGAAAAAAAAGACUCAAUUUAUUAAAAAAAAAACUUAGACCCUAUAUAGUUUUGUUCUGAUUAUCAGCAUGCAAAUCAGUAAUGGUUAUGGUUGUCUUAUCCUCCUUAGAAAGAUCAGAAUAAGACAGACUUAGAUAAGGAGAAGACUGAAAGAUGAGGGUUAGGCUCCAGGUCACAGAAGAGGUUAAAGGAUUCGUUACAUCAGAAUAAAGAAAGAAUCAUCAAAAGCAUCCAGUCUGGAACCCACAGUGACAGCAGAAAAGGAGUUCCAGGUACGAACAUCCACAGGGGCCCGAGGAACGAGAACGGCAGCCCAUAGAGAUGCAGUGCACAUAGAGAUACAGUGCACAGAGAUGCAGUGCACAUAGAGAUGCAGUGCACACAGAGAUGCAGUGCACACAGAGAUGCAGUGCACACAGAGAUGCAGUGCACAUAGAGAUGCAGUGUUCUGAGUUGAGAAUCCACAUUCUGCUUACUGAUGCUACCUUAGAGCAGUGCCAUGCAACAGAUUAUGUGUAGAGUUGGAGAAUUAAAGUAUGUACAUAUGCUAAUGCAUCAUAAAGUUGAUUCGUAGUCAGGAUUUCAGUUAAGACUUUUGCCUUAAGUUCUAGAAAGGCGGAUUCUGAGAUGGUACAUUUAUUAGAGGUGAUGACUAUCUGGGAAAUGCUUUAUAGAUUGAAGCUGAUGAUGCUUUGACAUGUGUAUCCAUUAUAAUACAACAAGUCUUUAGAUAUUAUGACAUAAAAAAUGUUACACAUAAUCUUCCCAUUCCACAGGUCAAACAAUUAUGGAGCGAUCAAACCAUACUUUAAGGGAAAUGCUCAUAGACCAGAAGGGGACAUAGUGCCAAUGAGACGGAUAGCACGGCGGCUGGAAAGCACUGGACUGUAGAAAAGACUAAUAAAUUAGAGCAGUGUUUCUAUGUUUGCAGAGCAGAAGGACCAGACACCAAAGAAGGUCUGCUCCUGGCAGUAUCCUCAUUUUACUUCAAAGAUGCUGACAUCAAUGAAGCUCUUACAGAGUUUGCUUCAAUUGUACCACUGGCCAAGACACUGUCCUUGCUUCAGCAGCAUACAGUAUGUUGUCCAAACUGAACAAACAAGACACAAGGAAGUCCACUGCCUCGCUUUUCAAGGACACGGAAAUAGGGAAGUUCCAGCACAGAGAGAAGAUUCUGGGAUGGAGUCAUGUGGAGGCAAGAUUCACCCCAAACUGAGGAAGAUGGUCACAUGACUCUGAGGGGGCGGUAACUAGCCAUGUGGACUAUUCUAUUCCUGGACUGGGAACAGAACAAAUGGGAUAAAUCAGUUACGAGCUAAUGGGAACGACCCAAAGCCUUUGGCCUCUAGGCAUGUAUUCAUAAAAUAAUUCAGUCUCAGAGUCAUUAUUUUGGGGAGUAAAGAGACCAGCUGGAAAAGCUCACAGUUAUAGGUUAGAAUCAGGGAGUUUCCAUGAACUAAAGAAGGAAGGAAGGCAAACAAAGACAGCCAUCACUAUCCAUGGUUGCUCUUUCUGAAUUCUGUGGCCUAGUAAACCCAUGGUCUAAACUGAAACCAGAUAAAGUCACUUUCAAUUCGUCUACGUAAGAGCAAUAACUCUGCUGCCAUG